AAAGUGGAGCAAUCCAUGAGUAAAGUGGCGUACGGGUGAGUAACACGUGGAUCAUCUACCCUCUAGUGGGGAAUACCGUUGGGAAACCGACGACAAUACCGCAUAAGCUCGAGAGAGGAAAGCAGCAAUGCGCUGGAGGAGGAGUCUGCGGUCGAUUAGUUAGUUGGCAGGGUAAAAGCCUACCAAGACUGUGAUCGAUAGCCGGCCUGAGAGGGCACACGGCCACACUGGCACUGAAACACGGGCCAGACUCCUACGGGAGGCAGCAGUGGGGAAUCUUGCACAAUGGAGGAAACUCUGAUGCAGCGACGCCGCGUGAGCGAUGAAGCCCUUCGGGGUGUAAAGCUCUUUCGGCAGGGAAGAUUAUGACGGUACCUGCAAAAGCAGCUGCGGCUAACUACGUGCCAGCAGCCGCGGUAAUACGUAGGCAGCAAGCGUUGUUCGGAGUUACUGGGCGUAAAGGGUGCGUAGGCGGCUUUUUAAGUUUGGUGUGAAAUCUCCCGGCUCAACUGGGAGGGUGCGCCGAAUACUGAGAGGCUCGAGUGCGGGAGAGGAAAGUGGAAUUCCUGGUGUAGCGGUGAAAUGCGUAGAUAUCAGGAGGAACACCGGUGGUGUAAACGGCUUUCUGGACCGUAACUGACGCUGAGGCACGAAAGCGUGGGUAGCAAACAGGAUUAGAUACCCUGGUAGUCCACGCCCUAAACGAUGCAUAUUUGGUGUGGGCCAUUCAGUUGGUCCGUGCCGGAGCUAACGCGUUAAAUAUGCCGCCUGGGGAGUACAGUCGCAAGGCUGAAACUCAAAGGAAUUGAC
rnacentral:rRNA from 1 species